UAAGGCACUUGUUCCUCUGGUUCUUUAUAAAUGUAACUUCUUGCCUUGGUAUCUUGCUGUUAGUUACUGAAAUAUUAGACAUGCCAACAUGCGAGUGAUAUUUAGAAAACUUUUACAGUCAUCAAGUCUCCCAGGAUUUUUUUACAAAAGCAUCAAUUUUGGAUCAAGGUCAGCUGGAUUUUUGCCCGCCUCACCUUCUUUUGUAUUUUAAAUUAUUCUUCAUAAUGUUCAGUCUUAAAUUAUCAUGUAGUUUACUCAGCACUUCCUGAAGCUGUUGUGUUUCACACUAGUAUCUGUAGCAUAGGAGGUGAACUGAUCCCUGUUAUGUCUUACAGGAAUAACACCUUUCCUAGCUUUUCAAAAUUACCAGUGCCUUAGUUUCUAAAAUAAUAGCUAUGCAGUUCUCUGCUAAUAUACUAUUAUUUGUUUUUAAGUCUCUUGAAUUAUGCUCUAUAUAAAUUAAUCUGCAUUCCAAUCUUAUUUAUAUGAGUUCAUGUGUUCAUGCCCUUUAGAAAGAGGACAUCGUGCACACUUUCAAAUGUGUGACGUGUGUGAGAAGGCACAGAAGCCAAGCAACAAUGAGCUCACUCUUCAAAGGGGCGGAUAUUAGAAAUGCUUUACUUUGCAUGCAUAUUAGAGCAGAUGUUAAUGAACUUGUACCACUAAAGAAGCUAUGUAAAAUGUACAAAUCAAAAUGUGUUCAUGACAGUAACUUAAUAAAACUGCAGAGAUAACAUAUGCAAA